rnacentral:rRNA from 1 species
UUAAGCGACUAAGCGUACACGGUGGAUGCCCUGGCAGUCAGAGGCGAUGAAGGACGUGCUAAUCUGCGAAAAGCGUCGGUAAGGUGAUAUGAACCGUUAUAACCGGCGAUGUCCGAAUGGGGAAACCCAGUGCAAUUCGUUGCACUAUCGUUAACUGAAUACAUAGGUUAACGAGGCGAACCGGGGGAACUGAAACAUCUAAGUACCCCGAGGAAAAGAAAUCAACCGAGAUUCCCCCAGUAGCGGCGAGCGAACGGGGAGCAGCCCAGAGUCUGAAUCAGCUUGUGUGUUAGUGGAACGGUCUGGAAAGUCCGACGGUACAGGGUGAUAGUCCCGUACACCAAAAUGCACAGGCUGUGAACUCGAAGAGUAGGGCGGGACACGUGGUAUCCUGUCUGAAUAUGGGGGGACCAUCCUCCAAGGCUAAAUACUCCUGACUGACCGAUAGUGAACCAGUACCGUGAGGGAAAGGCGAAAAGAACCCCGGCGAGGGGAGUGAAAAAGAACCUGAAACCGUGUACGUACAAGCAGUGGGAGCACCUUCGGGUGUGACUGCGUACCUUUUGUAUAAUGGGUCAGCGACUUAUAUUCUGUAGCAAGGUUAACCGUAUAGGGGAGCCGCAGGGAAACCGAGUCUUAACUGGGCGUUAAGUUGCAGGGUAUAGACCCGAAACCCGGUGAUCUAGCCAUGGGCAGGUUGAAGGUUGGGUAACACUAACUGGAGGACCGAACCGACUAAUGUUGAAAAAUUAGCGGAUGACUUGUGGCUGGGGGUGAAAGGCCAAUCAAACCGGGAGAUAGCUGGUUCUCCCCGAAAGCUAUUUAGGUAGCGCCUCGUGAAUUCAUCUUCGGGGGUAGAGCACUGUUUCGGCUAGGGGGUCAUCCCGACUUACCAACCCGAUGCAAACUACGAAUACCGAAGAAUGUUAUCACGGGAGACACACGGCGGGUGCUAACGUCCGUCGUGAAGAGGGAAACAACCCAGACCGCCAGCUAAGGUCCCAAAGUCAUGGUUAAGUGGGAAACGAUGUGGGAAGGCACAGACAGCCAGGAUGUUGGCUUAGAAGCAGCCAUCAUUUAAAGAAAGCGUAAUAGCUCACUGGUCGAGUCGGCCUGCGCGGAAGAUGUAACGGGGCUAAACCAUGCACCGAAGCUGCGGCAGCGACACUAUGUGUUGUUGGGUAGGGGAGCGUUCUGUAAGCCUGCGAAGGUGACCUGUGAGGGUUGCUGGAGGUAUCAGAAGUGCGAAUGCUGACAUAAGUAACGAUAAAGCGGGUGAAAAGCCCGCUCGCCGGAAGACCAAGGGUUCCUGUCCAACGUUAAUCGGGGCAGGGUGAGUCGACCCCUAAGGCGAGGCCGAAAGGCGUAGUCGAUGGGAAACAGGUUAAUAUUCCUGUACUUGGUGUUACUGCGAAGGGGGGACGGAGAAGGCUAUGUUAGCCGGGCGACGGUUGUCCCGGUUUAAGCAUGUAGGCUGAUUGUCCAGGCAAAUCCGGAUAAUCAAGGCUGAGGUGUGAUGACGAGGCACUACGGUGCUGAAGUAACAAAUGCCCUGCUUCCAGGAAAAGCCUCUAAGCAUCAGGUAACAUUAAAUCGUACCCCAAACCGACACAGGUGGUCAGGUAGAGAAUACCAAGGCGCUUGAGAGAACUCGGGUGAAGGAACUAGGCAAAAUGGUGCCGUAACUUCGGGAGAAGGCACGCUGGUGUGUAGGUGAAGCCCCUGCGGGUGGAGCUGAGACCAGUCGAAGAUACCAGCUGGCUGCAACUGUUUAUUAAAAACACAGCACUGUGCAAACACGAAAGUGGACGUAUACGGUGUGACGCCUGCCCGGUGCCGGAAGGUUAAUUGAUGGGGUUAUCCGUAAGGAGAAGCUCUUGAUCGAAGCCCCGGUAAACGGCGGCCGUAACUAUAACGGUCCUAAGGUAGCGAAAUUCCUUGUCGGGUAAGUUCCGACCUGCACGAAUGGCGUAAUGAUGGCCAGGCUGUCUCCACCCGAGACUCAGUGAAAUUGAACUCGCUGUGAAGAUGCAGUGUACCCGCGGCAAGACGGAAAGACCCCGUGAACCUUUACUAUAGCUUGACACUGAACAUUGAGCCUUGAUGUGUAGGAUAGGUGGGAGGCUUUGAAGCGUGGACGCCAGUCUGCGUGGAGCCAACCUUGAAAUACCACCCUUUAAUGUUUGAUGUUCUAACGUUGGCCCCUUACCGGGGUUGCGGACAGUGUCUGGUGGGUAGUUUGACUGGGGCGGUCUCCUCCCAAAGCGUAACGGAGGAGCACGAAGGUUAGCUAAUCCUGGUCGGACAUCAGGAGGUUAGUGCAAUGGCAUAAGCUAGCUUGACUGCGAGCGUGACGGCGCGAGCAGGUGCGAAAGCAGGUCAUAGUGAUCCGGUGGUUCUGAAUGGAAGGGCCAUCGCUCAACGGAUAAAAGGUACUCCGGGGAUAACAGGCUGAUACCGCCCAAGAGUUCAUAUCGACGGCGGUGUUUGGCACCUCGAUGUCGGCUCAUCACAUCCUGGGGCUGAAGUAGGUCCCAAGGGUAUGGCUGUUCGCCAUUUAAAGUGGUACGCGAGCUGGGUUUAGAACGUCGUGAGACAGUUCGGUCCCUAUCUGCCGUGGGCGCUGGAGAAUUGAGGGGGGCUGCUCCUAGUACGAGAGGACCGGAGUGGACGCAUCACUGGUGUUCGGGUUGUCAUGCCAAUGGCACUGCCCGGUAGCUAAAUGCGGAAGAGAUAAGUGCUGAAAGCAUCUAAGCACGAAACUUGCCCCGAGAUGAGUUCUCCCUGAGACUUUAAGUCUCCUGAAGGAACGUUAAAGACGAUGACGUUGAUAGGCCGGGUGUGUAAGCGCAGCGAUGCGUUGAGCUAACCGGUACUAAUGAACCGUGAGGCUUAACCUU